rnacentral:lncRNA from 1 species
GAGCUUUGGAAAAGUGGAAAAGAAAUAUGCCUUUUUUUCGCUGUAUUUCAGAAUGCUGAAAGAAUGAAAUGGACGCAUGUCAGCCCAAAGACAUAAAGCAGAAAGAAACCACUUCAUGUUCAGAAGCAUGUCCUAGAAGACAACUGCUAAAGACAAGGGAGUAGUAAAGAAAAGAAAAAAAAAAAAAAAAAAGAAGGAAAAAAAAGUCUUCAAAGCAAAUGAAAAGAAACAGACAGUUCUUCAAAACAAGAGAGGAAAUUGGAAAAAGAACAUUUGUGGAAGAAAAAAAGCAUGUGGAAUUUCUCUAAACAGAAGAUGGAAUGAUCCAUUUUACCUGAAGAGAGUGGAAGGAUCAAGGAAAGUGGCACAAUGGACUUCAGUGACCACUAACCAACAUGGAUUACAGCGUGAGCAUGUGGUACAGAAACCACAAGUUGUCAAACCUGCAAAUCAUAAUUUGGUCAGUAAGAAUCUAGGAUCCUGAAGAAGACAUGAAGAGAAAUGACUCUUUAAAAUUGAAGUAGGAGCAAUCAUUACCUCUAUCAUUUUGAACCAAAAAGGUCUUACUCUAUGUAAUGUUAGUGCAAAAGAUGAAAAUCGGUGAGUUCAACAAUAUUUUUAUUGGAAUAAAUUUUCUUGUGGAAUGUCAAUUUAUUUUUGAGUAUGCAAUCUUGCCAAAUCGAAAACUCUCAUAUAUAGUUCUUUUAAACUUGAUCUCUUGGCAUGUCAAGCAUUCUCAUAU